rnacentral:rRNA from 1 species
GACGAACGCUGGCGGCGUGCUUAACACAUGCAAGUCGAACGGAAAGGCCCUGCUUGCAGGGUACUCGAGUCGCGAACGGGUGCGUAACUCGUGUGUGAUCUUCCCUGCACUUCGGGAUAAUCCUGGGACACUGGGUCUAAUACCGGAUAGGAGCAAUUUUUAUUGUGAUGGUUGGAAAGUUUUUUCGGUGUAGGAUGAGCUCGCGGCCUAUCAGCUUGUUGGUGGGGUAAUGGCCUACCAAGGCGGCGACGGGUAGCCGGCCUGAGAGGGUGGACGGCCACAUUGGGACUGAGAGACGGCACAGACUCCUACGGGAGGCAGCAGUGGGGAAUAUUGCACAAUGGGCGCAAGCCUGAUGCAGCGACGCCGCGUGGGGGAGGACGGCCUUCGGGUUGUAAACUCCUUUCGCUAGGGACGAAGCUUUUUGUGACGGUACCUAGAUAAGAAGCACCGGCUAACUACGUG